UACGAAGGGGGCUAGCGUUACUCGGAUUGACUGGGCGUAAAGGGCGCGUAGGCGGUUUGUACAGUCAGACGUGAAAUUCCUGGGCUCAACCUGGGGGCUGCGUUUGAUACGUGCAGACUUGAGUUCGGAAGAGGGUCGUGGAAUUCCUGGUGUAGCGGUGAAAUGCGCAGAUAUCAGGAGGAACACCGGUGGCGAAGGCGGGUCUCUGGGCCGAUACUGACGCUGAGGAACGAAAGCGUGGGGAGCGAACAGG
rnacentral:rRNA from 1 species